AUUUCCACGUGUUUGCGACAGACACAAGAGGAAGAGUGAGAAGGAUGAGGGGGGAAGCCUGAGUUUCUUCUCGUGAAAGAAGGAAAAAUGUAUAGGAAAUAGGCCUGUCAACGAACAGAGACUGGAUUUGUACGGUUUUAAGCUAUAUCAAGGAAAUAACUUACUUAUUUCAACCAAGACACAUCAGGAAAUAGUCGUUCCUCGGACGUUCUCUGCCAGAAUUAGAUUGAGAGGGUAUAAAAAUGAGGUAACACGCAUGCAAUAUCCCUUUGUCAUCCAACACCAUGAAGAAAAGAAAAGAACUGGCAG
ensembl:lncRNA